GAUGAACGCUGGCGGCGUGCCUAAUACAUGCAAGUCGAGCGAACAGAUGAGGAGCUUGCUCCUCUGACGUUAGCGGCGGACGGGUGAGUAACACGUGGAUAACCUACCUAUAAGACUGGGAUAACUUCGGGAAACCGGAGCUAAUACCGGAUAAUAUAUUGAACCGCAUGGUUCAAUAGUGAAAGACGGUUUUGCUGUCACUUAUAGAUGGAUCCGCGCCGCAUUAGCUAGUUGGUAAGGUAACGGCUUACCAAGGCAACGAUGCGUAGCCGACCUGAGAGGGGGAUCGGCCACACUGGAACUGAGACGCGGUCCAGACUCCUACGGGAGGCAGCAGUAGGGAAUCUUCCGCAAUGGGCGAAAGCCUGACGGAGCAACGCCGCGUGAGUGAUGAAGGUCUUCGGAUCGUAAAACUCUGUUAUUAGGGAAGAACAAAUGUGUAAGUAACUAUGCACGUCUUGACGGUACCUAAUCAGAAAGCCACGGCUAACUACGUG
rnacentral:rRNA from 1 species